AUGUUUGCUUUCAAGAAAAGAUGGAUGUGUGUUGUGACUGUGACAGAGGGUUCUACUGGAUAUGUUGUUGGGUAUAUGACAAGAAGCAUUGGUAAGGAUAUCAAAAUAGAAGAGAAUGCUGCAACGACCAAGGUGCCAUAUAUAUCGAAGGUGCUCGCAAACUUCCUUCGACUGGAGGAUUCGGAAUAUGAAGUUACUGGAAACAUUGUUGGAAGUGUUGGUCCUGAGAGUACAGAAAAGGAUUCAUCGUUUCUUAUAAAAACAUUGCGAUCAUUCAAAGAAGCUUUGAUUAAGGAUGAUGACACAAAUGUUGCUGAGAUUGAGGCCUUCUUACUUUGCAUUGAUGUUGAUGAUGAGAAGAACUCUCUUAUGAGGAAAAUCAUUGCUUUAGAUGAAUUAUUGAUAACCGUGAGAGAUUGUGUCUUGAGAGCAGGUGCAGAAUCUGUAUUCUACAGACUGAGGGCAGGUGCAGAUUCUGAAUUCUGCACACAGAAGACAGAAACAGAGAGCUGGUGGCAAAUGUGCAAGGGGAAGUUAUGGAGAUCUUUCUUCGCUAGCUGA
rnacentral:rRNA from 1 species